rnacentral:rRNA from 1 species
GACGAAGGGGGCUAGCGUUGUUCGGAAUUACUGGGCGUAAAGCGUGCGCAGGCGGUUUUGUAAGUCAGAUGUGAAAUCCCCGGGCUUAACCUGGGAACUGCGUUUGAAACUACAAGGCUAGAGUGUGGCAGAGGGGGGUGGAAUUCCACGUGUAGCAGUGAAAUGCGUAGAGAUGUGGAGGAACACCGAUGGCGAAGGCAGCCCCCUGGGUUAACACUGACGCUCAGGCACGAAAGCGUGGGGAGCAAACAGG